GUAAUUAUUGCAGCAGUGUUUUCAAUCCUGGUCUUCUGCUAAAAGGAGUUUUCCAGUUUAGAGGUAAAAGUACAAGUUUUAGCCUUCAGAGUUAUGCUCAGGCCAUGCAUUUGGGGCAUUCACUACAAAUGAGAAGCUGACAUGGUCUGAUCAAGCAGGCAUUUACAGGUGAGAA
rnacentral:lncRNA from 12 species